GAUGAACGCUGGCGGCGUGCCUAAUACAUGCAAGUCGAGCGAACGGACGAGAAGCUUGCUUCUCUGAUGUUAGCGGCGGACGGGUGAGUAACACGUGGAUAACCUACCUAUAAGACUGGGAUAACUUCGGGAAACCGGAGCUAAUACCGGAUAAUAUUUUGAACCGCAUGGUUCAAAAGUGAAAGACGGUCUUGCUGUCACUUAUAGAUGGAUCCGCGCUGCAUUAGCUAGUUGGUAAGGUAACGGCUUACCAAGGCAACGAUGCAUAGCCGACCUGAGAGGAUGAUCGGCCACACUGGAACUGAGACACGGUCCAGACUCCUACGGGAGGCAGCAGUAGGGAAUCUUCCGCAAUGGGCGAAAGCCUGACGGAGCAACGCCGCGUGAGUGAUGAAGGUCUUCGGAUCGUAAAACUCUGUUAUUAGGGAAGAACAUAUGUGUAAGUAACUGUGCACACCUUGACGGUACCUAAUCAGAAAGCCACGGCUAACUACGUGCCAGCAGCCGCGGUAAUACGUAGGUGGCAAGCGUUAUCCGGAAUUAUUGGGCGUAAAGCGCGCGUAGGCGGUUUUUUAAGUCUGAUGUGAAAGCCCGCGGCUCAACCGUGGAGGGUCAUUGGAAACUGGAAAACUUGAGUGCAGAAGAGGAAAGUGGAAUUCCAUGUGUAGCGGUGAAAUGCGCAGAGAUAUGGAGGAACACCAGUGGCGAAGGCGACUUUCUGGUCUGUAACUGACGCUGAUGUGCGAAAGCGUGGGGAUCAAACAGGAUUAGAUACCCUGGUAGUCCACGCCGUAAACGAUGAGUGCUAAGUGUUAGGGGGUUUCCGCCCCUUAGUGCUGCAGCUAACGCAUUAAGCACUCCGCCUGGGGAGUACGACCGCAAGGUUGAAACUCAAAGGAAUUGACGGGGGCCCGCACAAGCGGUGGAGCAUGUGGUUUAAUUCGAAGCAACGCGAAGAACCUUACCAAAUCUUGACAUCCUUUGACAACUCUAGAGAUAGAGCCUUCCCCUUCGGGGGACAAAGUGACAGGUGGUGCAUGGUUGUCGUCAGCUCGUGUCGUGAGAUGUUGGGUUAAGUCCCGCAACGAGCGCAACCCUUAAGCUUAGUUGCCAUCAUUAAGUUGGGCACUCUAAGUUGACUGCCGGUGACAAACCGGAGGAAGGUGGGGAUGACGUCAAAUCAUCAUGCCCCUUAUGAUUUGGGCUACACACGUGCUACAAUGGACAAUACAAAGGGCAGCGAAACCGCGAGGUCAAGCAAAUCCCAUAAAGUUGUUCUCAGUUCGGAUUGUAGUCUGCAACUCGACUACAUGAAGCUGGAAUCGCUAGUAAUCGUAGAUCAGCAUGCUACGGUGAAUACGUUCCCGGGUCU
rnacentral:rRNA from 1 species